rnacentral:rRNA from 1 species
GUAGUUAAACGGCCGCGGUAUCCUGACCGUGCAAAGGUAGCAUAAUCACUUGUUCCUUAAUUAGGGACUUGUAUGAAAGGCUGAACGAGGGUCCAACUGUCUCUUAUUUUUGAUCAGUGAAAUUGACCUUCCAGUGAAGAGGCUGGAAUUUACUAAUAAGACGAGAAGACCCUAUGGAGCUUAAAUUUAAACUUAUUUAUUUUUCUUAAUUCACCUAAUGGAACAAAAACAAUAUUAUAAGCUUACUAUUUUGGUUGGGGUGACCUCGGAGAAUAAAAAAUCCUCCGAACGAUAAUAACAUAGACUAACAAGUCAAAGUAACCUAAUUUCCAAUUGACCCAAAACUAUUUGAUCAACGGACCAAGUUACCCUAGGGAUAACAGCGCAAUCCUAUUUAAGAGUUCAUAUCGACAAUAGGGUUUACGACCUCGAUGUUGGAUCAGGACAUCCCAAUGGUGCAGAAGCUAUUAAUGGUUC